GGGUUGUGAGGUUAAGCGACUAAGCGUACACGGUGGAUGCCCUGGCAGUCAGAGGCGAUGAAGGACGUGCUAAUCUGCGAUAAGCGUCGGUAAGGUGAUAUGAACCGUUAUAACCGGCGAUUUCCGAAUGGGGAAACCCAGUGUGAUUCGUCACACUAUCAUUACGUGAAUACAUAGCGUAAUGAAGCGAACCGGGGGAACUGAAACAUCUAAGUACCCCGAGGAAAAGAAAUCAACCGAGAUUCCCCCAGUAGCGGCGAGCGAACGGGGAGCAGCCCAGAGUCUGAAUCAGCUUGUGUGUUAGUGGAACGGUCUGGAAAGUCCGACGGUACAGGGUGAUAGUCCCGUACACCAAAAUGCACAGGUUGUGAACUCGAAGAGUAGGGCGGGACACGUGGUAUCCUGUCUGAAUAUGGGGGGACCAUCCUCCAAGGCUAAAUACUCCUGACUGACCGAUAGUGAACCAGUACCGUGAGGGAAAGGCGAAAAGAACCCCGGCGAGGGGAGUGAAAAAGAACCUGAAACCGUGUACGUACAAGCAGUGGGNNNNNNNNNNNNNNNGUGACUGCGUACCUUUUGUAUAAUGGGUCAGCGACUUAUAUUCUGUAGCAAGGUUAACCGUAUAGGGGAGCCGAAGGGAAACCGAGUCUUAACUGGGCGUUAAGUUGCAGGGUAUAGACCCGAAACCCGGUGAUCUAGCCAUGGGCAGGUUGAAGGUUGGGUAACACUAACUGGAGGACCGAACCGACUAAUGUUGAAAAAUUAGCGGAUGACUUGUGGCUGGGGGUGAAAGGCCAAUCAAACCGGGAGAUAGCUGGUUCUCCCCGAAAGCUAUUUAGGUAGCGCCUCGUGAACUCAUCUUCGGGGGUAGAGCACUGUUUCGGCUAGGGGGUCAUCCCGACUUACCAACCCGAUGCAAACUGCGAAUACCGAAGAAUGUUAUCACGGGAGACACACGGCGGGUGCUAACGUCCGUCGUGAAGAGGGAAACAACCCAGACCGCCAGCUAAGGUCCCAAAGUCAUGGUUAAGUGGGAAACGAUGUGGGAAGGCACAGACAGCCAGGAUGUUGGCUUAGAAGCAGCCAUCAUUUAAAGAAAGCGUAAUAGCUCACUGGUCGAGUCGGCCUGCGCGGAAGAUGUAACGGGGCUAAACCAUGCACCGAAGCUGCGGCAGCGACACUAUGUGUUGUUGGGUAGGGGAGCGUUCUGUAAGCCGUUGAAGGUGUACUGUGAGGUAUGCUGGAGGUAUCAGAAGUGCGAAUGCUGACAUAAGUAACGAUAAUGCGGGUGAAAAACCCGCACGCCGGAAGACCAAGGGUUCCUGUCCAACGUUAAUCGGGGCAGGGUGAGUCGACCCCUAAGGCGAGGCCGAAAGGCGUAGUCGAUGGGAAACAGGUUAAUAUUCCUGUACUUGGUGUUACUGCGAAGGGGGGACGGAGAAGGCUAUGUUAGCCGGGCGACGGUUGUCCCGGUUUAAGCAUGUAGGCGGAGGUUCCAGGUAAAUCCGGUACCUUUUAACGCUGAGGUGUGAUGACGAGGCACUACGGUGCUGAAGUAACAAAUGCCCUGCUUCCAGGAAAAGCCUCUAAGCAUCAGGUAACACGAAAUCGUACCCCAAACCGACACAGGUGGUCAGGUAGAGAAUACCAAGGCGCUUGAGAGAACUCGGGUGAAGGAACUAGGCAAAAUGGUGCCGUAACUUCGGGAGAAGGCACGCUGAUAUGUAGGUGAAGCGGUUUACCCGUGGAGCUGAAAUCAGUCGAAGAUACCAGCUGGCUGCAACUGUUUAUUAAAAACACAGCACUGUGCAAACACGAAAGUGGACGUAUACGGUGUGACGCCUGCCCGGUGCCGGAAGGUUAAUUGAUGGGGUUAUCCGUAAGGAGAAGCUCUUGAUCGAAGCCCCGGUAAACGGCGGCCGUAACUAUAACGGUCCUAAGGUAGCGAAAUUCCUUGUCGGGUAAGUUCCGACCUGCACGAAUGGCGUAAUGAUGGCCAGGCUGUCUCCACCCGAGACUCAGUGAAAUUGAACUCGCUGUGAAGAUGCAGUGUACCCGCGGCAAGACGGAAAGACCCCGUGAACCUUUACUAUAGCUUGACACUGAACACUGGUCCUUGAUGUGUAGGAUAGGUGGGAGGCUUUGAAGUGUGGACGCCAGUCUGCAUGGAGCCAUCCUUGAAAUACCACCCUUUAAUGGCUGGUGUUCUAACGUGGACCCGUAAUCCGGGUUGCGGACAGUGUCUGGUGGGUAGUUUGACUGGGGCGGUCUCCUCCUAAAGAGUAACGGAGGAGCACGAAGGUUAGCUAAUCCUGGUCGGACAUCAGGAGGUUAGUGCAAAGGCAUAAGCUAGCUUGACUGCGAGAGUGACGGCUCGAGCAGGUGCGAAAGCAGGUCUUAGUGAUCCGGUGGUUCUGAAUGGAAGGGCCAUCGCUCAACGGAUAAAAGGUACUCCGGGGAUAACAGGCUGAUACCGCCCAAGAGUUCAUAUCGACGGCGGUGUUUGGCACCUCGAUGUCGGCUCAUCACAUCCUGGGGCUGAAGUAGGUCCCAAGGGUAUGGCUGUUCGCCAUUUAAAGUGGUACGCGAGCUGGGUUUAGAACGUCGUGAGACAGUUCGGUCCCUAUCUGCCGUGGGCGCUGGAGAAUUGAGGGGGGCUGCUCCUAGUACGAGAGGACCGGAGUGGACGCAUCACUGGUGUUCGGGUUGUCAUGCCAAUGGCAUUGCCCGGUAGCUAAAUGCGGAAGAGAUAAGUGCUGAAAGCAUCUAAGCACGAAACUUGCCCCGAGAUGAGUUCUCCCUGAGACUAUAAGUCUCCUGAAGGAACGUUGAAGACGACGACGUUGAUAGGUCGGGUGUGUAAGUGUAGCGAUACAUUGAGCUAACCGAUACUAAUGAACCGUGAGGCUUAACCUUACAACGCCGAAG
rnacentral:rRNA from 1 species